rnacentral:RNase_P_RNA from 1 species
GUGGUGAGUCGGAUGGUCGCUGAGCCGACCGGCGUGAUGGCGACAUUGGGCCGGGUGUUUCAGAGGAAAGUCCGGACUCCGCAGGGCGCAGUGGUGGGUAACACCCACCGCUCGAACGUGUUCGAGUAGGGAAAGUGCCACAGAAAACAGACCGCCCCGGCGUUGGGUUACCGGCGUCGGGGUAAGGGUGAAACGGUGGGGUAAGAGCCCACCAGCAGGCCGGGUGACCGGCUUGGCUCGGCAAACCCCACUGGGAGCAAGACCAAAUAAGGGGGCAGCGGGGGAUUUCGGUCCUUCGCGCGGCUUGGCCCGAGCCGUGACGACUCCCGGGUAGGUCGCUUGAGGCGCUGGGCAACCGGCGUCCCAGAGAAAUGAUCAUCGAGGGACGGAUGUCCCUUACAGAAUCCGGCUUACAGACUCGCCACAAUU